rnacentral:rRNA from 1 species
UACGUAGGAUGCAAGCGUUGUCCGGAUUUACUGGGCGUAAAGCGCGCGCAGGCGGCACAUUAAGUAAGGUGUGAAAGCCCCCGGCUCAACUGGGGAGGGUCAUUCGAUACUGAUCGACUCGAAGGCAGGAGAGGGUAGUGGAAUUCCCGGUGUAGUGGUGAAAUGCGUAGAUAUCGGGAGGAACACCAGUGGCGAAGGCGACUACCUGGCCUGUUCUUGACGCUGAGGCGCGAAAGCUAGGGGAGCAAACGGG